GGAGCUCCAGCCCUGGAUUCCCACCUGCUCCCAUUCGGGCUUCAGACAGAACACUCACCAUGGAUUUUGGGCUGAGCUGGGUUGUCCUUGUGGCUAUUUUACAAGGUGUCCAGUGUGAGGUGCAGCUGGUGGAGUCUGGGGGAGGCUUGGUGCAGCCUGGGGGGUCUCUGCGACUCUCCUGUGCAGCGUCUGGAUUCACCUUCAGUAGCUAUGGCAUGAGCUGGGUCCGCCAGGCUCCAGGGAAGGGGCUGGAGUGGAUCUCAAGUAUUAGUAGUAGUAGUGGUUACACAUACUAUGCAGACUCUGUGAAGGGCCGAUUCACCAUCUCCAGAGACAACUCCAAGAACACACUGUAUCUGCAAAUGAACAGCCUGAGAUCUGAGGACACGGCCGUUGGGCUGAGCUGGGUUGUCCUUGUGGCUAUUUUACAAGGUGUCCAGUGUGAGGUGCAGCUGGUGGAGUCUGGGGGAGGCUUGGUGCAGCCUGGGGGGUCUCUGCGACUCUCCUGUGCAGCGUCUGGAUUCACCUUCAGUAGCUAUGGCAUGAGCUGGGUCCGCCAGGCUCCAGGGAAGGGGCUGGAGUGGAUCUCCGUUAUUAGUAGUAGUGGUGGUAACACAUACUAUGCAGACUCUGUGAAGGGCCGAUUCACCAUCUCC